GAUGAAGAACGUAGUGAAAUGCGAUAAGUAGUGUGAAUUGCAGAAUUCAGUGAAUCAUCGAAUCUUUGAACGCACAUUGCGCCCAUUGGUAUUCCAUUGGGCAUGCCUGUUCGAGCGUCAUCUAAAUCUUCAAGCAUUGCUUGGUGUUGGGCGUAUUUGUCUAUCGGCACUCCCUCCGGCCCCAUGGCCAAUGCCAAAGACUCGCCUUGAAGCCAUUCGGCGGUGGAUAUGUCGGCUCCGAGCGCAGCAGAGUACGCGCCCGCGGCCCGGCGAGUCCGCUCCCAGAAGCCCCCCACCCACAGUUUGACCUCGGAUCAGGUAGGGAUACCCGCUGAACUUAAGCAUAUCAAUAAGCGGAGGA
rnacentral:misc_RNA from 1 species